AUUGAACGCUGGCGGCAGGCCUAACACAUGCAAGUCGAGCGGAGGAAGGGAGCUUGCUCCUGGAUUCAGCGGCGGACGGGUGAGUAAUGCCUAGGAAUCUGCCUGGUGGUGGGGGAUAACGUCCGGAAACGGGCGCUAAUACCGCAUACGUCCUGAGGGAGAAAGAGGGGGAUCUUCGGACCUCACGCUAUCAGAUGAGCCUAGGUCGGAUUAGCUAGUUGGUGGGGUAAAGGCCUACCAAGGCGACGAUCCGUAACUGGUCUGAGAGGAUGAUCAGUCACACUGGACCUGAGACACGGUCCAGCCUCCUACGGGAGGCAGCAGUGGGGAAUAUUGGACAAUGGGCGAAAGCCUGAUCCAGCCAUGCCGCGUGUUUGAAGAAGGUCUUCGGAUUUUAAAGCACUUUAAGUUGGGAGGAAGGGCAGUAAGUUAAUACCUUGCUGUUUUGACGUUACCAACAGAAUAAGCACCGGCUAACUUCGUG
rnacentral:rRNA from 1 species